GUGCGGCGACGAAAAUCGAAGAUUUUUGCACGUUGGCUUUGCCGACAACCCCGAAGGGAAAAGAAACCGUUUCGGCGGCUUCGAAUAAAAAUCUCAUCAU
rnacentral:ncRNA from 1 species